rnacentral:misc_RNA from 1 species
GAAUUUUAUCACCUAUCUGAUUGAUUAUUUAUUAAAUUGAAAUAUGUUUGAAGAGGAAAGUAGUAGGAAUAGUAACGAGAUAUUAAUUGAAGAAGUAUUGACAAACAUUUGGGAAAUUACAGUGAAAAUAAAGAGAGAAUUGGACGCAAUAAAUGAACUUGUAAAAGAAAAUGGAAAUUUCUGUUCAGCAGUCGUACAUACAAACCAGAGCUUAUUGAAAAUACUUGAAGGAAAAGGUAUAGAUUUAUCUGCAAUUGAAGAAGAAGAAGAAGAAGAAGAAGAGAAAGAAGAAGAAGAAAAAAACAAUGGUGAAAAUAGUAAUAGUUCAUACUUUGAG